AAGGUGUUCACGAGAUAGAUACCAACCUUUCGAGAACUUGUGAAUUUCGCCAGCCGUCUUCUCUCCUUAUGGAGACAGACACUGUGUGCACGGUGGGAGGAGCUGUGUCUGUGUGUGUGUGUGUGUGUGUGUGUGUGUGUGUUGCCUGUUACCAUCAAGUAAGACUGGUGAAAUAGUCUAACUUGUGAUGCAUCAGCUAGUGUGGCCUGUAGACAAAGUUAGUUUCCUGACCAACUGGGCAGAAGCAGGCAAGUGUGUGUGUGUGUGUGUGUGUGUGUGUACGUGCGGAUUUAUCUUCCUGUCUUUUGCAUGUCCACCCGUGUCUCUGUGUGCAUGAUUGUAUUCACGUUUAAUCUCGGGCUGUUUCGAGCUCGGUCGCCCACAAGUUGUCUGAAGAAAUUUUGAUGAUAUCAAUGAAAUCAAAUCAUUUGACAUAUUCAAAACUUCCCUCUUCAAAAGGCUUCUGAUGACUGUUUACUGUCUUUUUUAUCUGUGUUGCUCAGUUGGUGUCCUACAGUCCAAAAUGCACAGACACCUUUUAAGGUGUGAUACACAGCGAAGAGGGCUUAGCUACUUUUAAAGCUGUCAUAAAUUCCAGAUGUUUAUUUUUAACGGAUUGCAUCAUGUCCCACUCGCUGUUUCUUUUUAAACCUAAGUAUUGAGUUACUGAUUUAGUAUCUCAGUUUAGGAUGCUAUUGAUUGCAGUCUUACUGUAUGGCACUUUGAUAUAAGAAUCCUUUUUUAAUUGUCUUUUUUUUUUACAGUUAAAUCACAUUUUCAGUUCAUUUUAACCACUUAAAUCUGUCAUUACGUCCAUUGGCACUAGAGGGCGCCUCCUCUCUUCUCUUGUGGCACAUUUUCAGGGUCAUUUCUAGCAGGAACAAAAUUUAAAUGGGGCUUUUUUUUAUUGUGUUUUAAAUGUAUUUUCUGCCUGUGUAAUGCUGAUUUGCUGUGUUCAUCAGCAAUACUUUGGAGCCCUUUAUGUCAAAACUGUCUUGUCAAAGAAGUAUGAUGCUCUUACUGCUGCAGUUACACAUUUAUCAUCAGAUCAGAUGGAUGCACCCAAAUCCAAAACAUUUGAUCACCUAAAAGAGUUGCGCCAAAUACUGCACAGACCCUGGGCCGUCUUGUAUUUUUAGCUUUUUUUUUUCCUACAAACAAACUCAAGUUAAACCACCUGUUUAAAUCCCCAUUCUCACCUCAUUCUCCUGGGCACCCCUGGUUUUUGCACCGUUGUUUAAGUUCCAUCAGGGUGCUCGGUCUAGUUGUAUUUCUUUUUUUUUUCCACAUUGCUGCGAGUGUUAAUCCUACAUAGGAUGAACAAUAAGAUAUCUAGUGUGUCCUGUGUAUCCUGGAAGAAAUGACAAGAUAAAAGUUUUUUUUUCUCUCCAGUCUUGUCACCUUUAAUGCUGUCAUAUUUGAUAUUUUGUUGCCAAAAAAGGCAGUGGAACAUAUUAUCACAUUUUCUUUAUUAGCUCACGUUUUUGUAUGUAUCACCUUUUUUUCUUUUUUUCUUUUUUUAAGGGUGAAAAGAAAAAUCAUUUAAUCUUUUUUUCAGCUAAUGUAAAAAUCUGUUAAAGAGGAUUUCAUGUGUAUAUUUUUGGUUUGCAGAGUUUCUUUCAUAUUUGUCAUAUCAGACAUGCACACACCUCUUGGCUGCAUUAAAUCUACACAUGUAUGUGAUUUACGCUCGAUUUGACACCACUUAACAUUGGCAAUUGUGAUUGGUGACUGGCAAGACAGGGACAGCUGAAAACAAUAAUGGCUGCUCUCCCUUGAUAUACUGUACAGUUAGUCAGAUCCUGCCUUGAUUUUAUCAUUGUAACAACCUUUACUACA